rnacentral:rRNA from 1 species
GACGAACGCUGGCGGCGUGCCUAAUACAUGCAAGUAGAACGCCGAAGGAGGAGCUUGCUUCUCCGGAUGAGUUGCGAACGGGUGAGUAACGCGUAGGUAACCUGCCUGGUAGCGGGGGAUAACUAUUGGAAACGAUAGCUAAUACCGCAUAACAGUAGAUGUUGCAUGACAUUUGCUUAAAAGGUGCAAUUGCAUCACUACCAGAUGGACCUGCGUUGUAUUAGCUAGUUGGUGAGGUAACGGCUCACCAAGGCGACGAUACAUAGCCGACCUGAGAGGGUGAUCGGCCACACUGGGACUGAGACACGGCCCAGACUCCUACGGGAGGCAGCAGUAGGGAAUCUUCGGCAAUGGACGGAAGUCUGACCGAGCAACGCCGCGUGAGUGAAGAAGGUUUUCGGAUCGUAAAGCUCUGUUGUAAGAGAAGAACGAGUGUGAGAGUGGAAAGUUCACACUGUGACGGUAUCUUACCAGAAAGGGACGGCUAACUACGUG